AUGCCGUCCACCUCCACCAGUCCCACUCCACGAGUGACACCAAUGUUCUUGCUGGGGAGGAGCACUCCAGCGGGAAGAGCGGGCUCGCCCUGCGGCUCCACUCCAGGGACUUACAUCUGGGAGGAGCAGGCCCGGCACCAGAGCCACAUGUCCCUCGUUCUCGCCCGCCUUCGCCGCGAAUCGGCCUGGGCCGCCGCAUUGUCGGCGCACGCGUCUCUGGCUGCCGAUGGGAUAUCCCGUGCCGACCUGAAUCAGGCCAACACCAUGCCGAUCUUCGUGGCAUCGACGACGGAGAUACAGGGGCCGGUUUUGUCCGGCGUCAGGAGCGACACGUACUUCUCUCACGUCGGCAUCGGCUGGCCCGCGCGGCCGCUCGUGCCCGACACCAGCAGCCGCGAUGUGGUUGAGGCUGCGAGCGAGGUAGGCGGCAGGUAG
rnacentral:rRNA from 1 species